UACGGAGGGUGCGAGCGUUGUUCGGAAUCACUGGGCGUAAAGGGCGUGUAGGCGGUCCGCUAAGUCUGAUGUGAAAGCCCGGGGCUCACCCCCGGAAGUGCAUUGGAAACUGGCGGACUCGAGUCCCGGAGAGGAGAGUGGAAUUCCUGGUGUAGCGGUGAAAUGCGUAGAUAUUGGGAAGAACACCGGUGGCGAAGGCGGCCAACUGGACCACAACUGACGCUGAGGCGCGAAAGCGUGGGGAGCAAACAGG
rnacentral:rRNA from 1 species